rnacentral:SRP_RNA from 1 species
GCCAGGCAUGGCAGCACUUGCCUGUUAUCCCUGCUACUAACAAGGCUGAGUGAGGCUGGUGGAUUUCUUGAGCUGGGGAGUUCUGAUCUGCAGUGGGCUAAGCUGAUUGGGCAUCCACACUAGAGUCUGGCACCAGUAUAUUGAGCUUCUGCAAAUAAGAAAUCACCAGGCUGCCCAAGUUAGAGUGAAAUGACCCAAGUUAGAAACGGAGCAGGUCAAAACUCCUUUGUUGGUUAGUAGCAGGGUGGGGCCCAUGAAUCAACUGUGAGUGAUCACUAUGCUUCUGGACUGGGUGAAAUAGGAGACCUCGUCUUUU